ensembl:ncRNA F59B2.17 ncRNA
AACAUUGAAGCUCCGAAUCCACUCGAUGAAGAACUAAACUUUGCUUUCAAGUCAUCAAUAAGGGAUCCAUGAACCACUCCAAGAAUCAGAAGGGUCGCCACAGCGACACCUUGAGGAGAAAUCAUUCCUGUAAGACAAAGAAAAAGAGAUUACGGUAGUCAGCUUAACCUAACUAUAAAACAAAAUAUAUGAUCAAAACU